rnacentral:rRNA from 1 species
CGAACGCUGGCGGCGUGCUUAACACAUGCAAGUCGAACGGAAAGGCCCUGCUUUUGUGGGGUGCUCGAGUGGCGAACGGGUGAGUAACACGUGAGUAACCUGCCCUUGACUUUGGGAUAACUUCAGGAAACUGGGGCUAAUACCGGAUAGGAGCUCCUGCUGCAUGGUGGGGGUUGGAAAGUUUCGGCGGUUGGGGAUGGACUCGCGGCUUAUCAGCUUGUUGGUGGGGUAGUGGCUUACCAAGGCUUUGACGGGUAGCCGGCCUGAGAGGGUGACCGGCCACAUUGGGACUGAGAUACGGCCCAGACUCCUACGGGAGUCAGCAGUGGGGAAUAUUGCACAAUGGGCGGAAGCCUGAUGCAGCAACGCCGCGUGCGGGAUGACGGCCUUCGGGUUGUAAACCGCUUUCGCCUGUGACGAAGCGUGAGUGACGGUAAUGGGUAAAGAAGCACCGGCUAACUACGUG